GCUACCUUUGAGUGACGAUUGAAACUCUCCACGCUCUCCUUCCUUUCUCAAACAAACUCGCGGCGCCGGUGAUUCUCCUCCGACGAAACUCAAAGGCGCAACCACCGUGAACACUCCGUCUCCCGUCUCGGUCCUCUCUCACGUAAACGGUGCAGCGGCGGAGUCCGAUCUUCAAUCACCACCGUGAACUACCGCAACAAGAACACAACCUUGUUCCUCAUCUCGCUAAUCUCUUGAUCGACUCCAUAUUCUCUCGAUGACCUUCCUUCUGUUCAAUCCUCCGCCCAGUUCUCAUCUCUGACUCUCGAUUCUAGACAACGGCGCAACGGCCACAUCUCCUCCUCCGACGGCGCUUUGUGACGUCGAGCGUGAUCUGAAGGUCGAACAGAGCUGAUGAUAGAGUGUUGAAGAUUGAUGAUAUGUUGUUCGCAGCAGAGAAGUGUUGCGACGAAGGUUAAAUUCCGCGUUGAUGAUGGAAGAUGAGUGUUGAAUAAUCUGAGAUGAUAUUGGCGAUGAUGAAGAUUAAAGAGGAAGCUUGAAGAGGAUGAAGAAUGAAAGCGAUUUUUAUUCUGAGAAUUGAAGGAGAUGGAGAAGGUUGAAGAUUAUGAAGUUGCGGAGAUUGAAGGUUGCGUUGAAAGUCGAUGAAGAGCUUGAAUCGUGAAAAAGACUCUUGCAGGCUGCAGCAAACACGGCAACUGGUGUAAUGGUAUUGUGUGCAUAUACUUGGCAAGUGAUGAUUGGUAAGGAGCAAGGACAAAAUGACAUGAAGAUUAGCACAGGAUAUGGCAUGGAGCUUAAUGGCAUGAAGAUGUUUAGAACUAGGAUUAGAUUUUAGCAUGACCAACAAGCAGGGAACGGUGUAAAUAAAUUCUGUGUAUUUGCAAUUAAUUUGUAACACUUUUCUUCAUGUAAUCCUCUUUGUAAUGGCACCCUUUUUUGUGAAUCAUUUUCCCUUUGAUGCGCACAGGCUUUUCUUGUAAAUCGAAUUUUCUUUGUAAAUGUACUCUGAACAUGGAUUUUGGGCUCUCUUGUAAUAAACAUUCUUGAACUU